UUGAAGCUUCAAACAUAUUGGAUGAAUGAUAAUCCUGGUAGAAGGUAUUGGGAGUGCUCAAUCGAAAAUGGAAGGCAAAUGUGUGGUUUUGUGAGGUGGUAUGAUCCGCCGAUGUGUGCAAGGUUAAGAAGAAUUAUUCCUGGGCUAUUGAGAAGGAUCAAU